CAGACACCUCACUCACCAGGCGGUAGGGUAGAGACAGACACCUCACUCACCAGGUGAUAGGGUAGAGACAGACACCUCACUCACCAAGUGGUAGGGUAGAGACAGACACCUCACUCACCAGGAGGUAGGGUAGAGACAGACACCUCACUCACCAGGAGGUAGGGUAGAGACAGACACCUCACUCACCAGGAGGUAGGGUAGAGACAGACACCUCACUCACCAGGAGGUAGGGUAGAGACAGACACCUCACUCACCAGGAGGUAGGGUAGAGACAGACACCUCACUCACCAGGAGGUAGGGUAGAGACAGACACCUCACUCACCAGGAGGUAGGGUAGAGACAGACACCUCACUCACCAGGAGGUAGGGUAGAGACAGACACCUCACUCACCAGGAGGUAGGGUAGAGACAGACACCUCACUCACCAGGUUGUAGGGUAGAGACAGACACCUCACUCACAGGCGGUAGGAUAGAGACAGACACCUCACUCACAGGCGGUAGGAUAGAGACAGACACCUCACUCACCAGGCGGUAGGAUAGAGACAGACACCUCACUCACUAGGCGGUAGGGUAGAGACAGACACCUCACUCACCAGGUGGUAGGGUAGAGACAGACACCUCACUCACAGGCGGUAGGGUAGAGACAGACACCUCACUCACCAGGCGGUAGGGUAGAGACAGACACCUCACACACAGGCGGUUGGGUAGAGACAGACACCUCACUCACCAGACGGUAGGGUAGAGACAGACACCUCACUCACCAGACGGUAGGAUAGAGACAGACACCUCACUCACCAGGCGGUAGGGUGGAGACAGACACCUCACUCACCAGGCGGUAGGGUGGAG